rnacentral:rRNA from 1 species
AUUGAACGCUGGCGGCAUGCUUUACACAUGCAAGUCGAACGGUAACAGGUUAAGCUGACGAGUGGCGAACGGGUGAGUAAUGCAUCGGAACGUGCCCGAUCGUGGGGGAUAACGCAGCGAAAGCUGCGCUAAUACCGCAUACGAUCUGAGGAUGAAAGCGGGGGACCGUAAGGCCUCGCGCGAUCGGAGCGGCCGAUGUCAGAUUAGGUAGUUGGUGGGGUAAAGGCUCACCAAGCCAACGAUCUGUAGCUGGUCUGAGAGGACGACCAGCCACACUGGGACUGAGACACGGCCCAGACUCCUACGGGAGGCAGCAGUGGGGAAUUUUGGACAAUGGGCGAAAGCCUGAUCCAGCAAUGCCGCGUGCAGGAAGAAGGCCUUCGGGUUGUAAACUGCUUUUGUACGGAGCGAAAAGGUCUCCUCUAAUACAGGGGGCUCAUGACGGUACCGUAAGAAUAAGCACCGGCUAACUACGUGCCAGCCGCCGCCGUAA